UCAGGAUGAACGCUAGCGGCAGGCUAACACAUGCAAGUCAGGGGCAGCGCGAGGUAGCAAGUACUUGGCGGCGACCGGCGAAAGGGUGCGUAACGCGUGAGCAACUUGCCCGUAUCUGGGACAUAAGCGGUGGAAACGCCGUCUAAUUUCCCAUAACAACAGAGGCCGCAUGACAUCUGUUUGAAAGAUCCGUCGGAUACGGAUGGGCUCGCGAGACAUUAGCUAGUCGGCGUGGUAACGGCACACCGAGGCGACGAUGUCUAGGGGUUCUGAGAGGAAGGUCCCCCACACUGGAACUGAGACACGGUCCAGACUCCUACGGGAGGCAGCAGUGAGGAAUAUUGGUCAAUGGGCGCAAGCCUGAACCAGCCAUGCCGCGUGAAGGAAUAAAGGCCCUAUGGGUCGUAAACUUCUUUUGUGGUGGAGCAAUAAGGUGUACGCGUACACCGAUGAGAGUACAUCACGAAUAAGCAUCGGCUAACUCCGUGCCAGCCGCUGC
rnacentral:rRNA from 1 species